GUAUAUGGGAAACUUGCCAGCACUGGAAGCCCUGCCAACUAGGAGAGAGAGAAUGGGGAAUGUAAAUUACUGAGCUCUGAGAAGCGAAUGAAAUCUAUAUCCUGGAUAGAAGCUGCUGUAUGUUUUCUUUUUAAUAGAUGACAAUUUUGUGAAGUAAUCUUAUCUUUGCGUUACUAUUUAUGCUGUAUUGUGUGAAAUUGAAA